rnacentral:rRNA from 1 species
UACGGAGGGAGCUAGCGUUGUUCGGAAUUACUGGGCGUAAAGCGCACGUAGGCGGCUUUGUAAGUUAGAGGUGAAAUCCUGGAGCUCAACUCCAGAACUGCCUUCGAUACUGGCGAUCUUGAGUCCGGAAGGGGUGAGUGGAACUCCUAGUGUAGAGGUGGAAUUCGUAGAUAUUAGGAAGAACACCAGUGGCGAAGGCGGCUCACUGGUCCGGUACUGACGCUGAGGUGCGAAAGCGUGGGGAGCAAACAGG